AAAACUAGUUUUACGGACUGCAAUGGCAUCAACAUCCAACCGGCUUCACUUCAUUUUGGUCCCGUUACUGGCACAAGGCCACAUGAUCCCCAUGAUAGACAUGGCAAGGCUAUUGGCUGAGCGGGAUGUUGUGGUAAGCUUGAUCACCACCCCUUUUAAUGCCUCCAGAUUCGAGAACACCAUCCACCGAGCCGCUGAUGCCGGGCUUCACAUUCGGCUAGUUCCAAUCCCAUUUCCGUGUCGAGAGGUUGGGCUCCCUCCGGAGUGUGAGAAUCUUGACAUUGUACCUUCAAGGGACCUUAUCAGGAACUUCUAUAGUGCUAUGGAUAAGCUACAGAAACCAUUGGAACACUACUUGCAACAACAGAAGCCCCCUCCCAGCUGCAUAAUUUCGGAUAAAUGCCUUUCUUGGACAUCUGGCACAGCUCGAAAGUUUGGGAUACCGAGGCUUGUUUUCCAUGGGAUGUGCUGCUUCUCGCUUUUAAGCUCCCAUAAUAUUUGGCUUCACAAUGCCCACCGUUCUGUGCUUUCGGAUUCCCAGCCAUUUGUGGUGCCCGGGAUGCCUCAGAAGAUUGAGAUAAAAAAAGCCCAGCUGCCAGGAGCUUUUGUUACCUUGCCAGACCUGGACGAUAUUCGGAACCAGAUGCGGGAAGCUGAAUCAACAGCAUAUGGAGUGGUGGUGAAUACUUUCAACGAGCUGGAGCACGGCUGCGUGGAGGAGUAUGAAAAGGCUAUAAAGAAAAAGGUUUGGAGCAUAGGACCGGUUUCUCUAAGUAACAAGCAUAAUUUGGACAAGUUUGAGAGAGGAAACAAAGCUUCAAUAGAUGAGAAACAGUGCUUGGGAUGGCUAGAUUCAAUGAAACCAGGGUCAGUUGUUUAUGCCUGCCUUGGUAGCCAAUGUCGUUUGGUUCCAGCGCAGUUGAUAGAACUUGGUCUGGGUUUAGAAGCAUCAAAACAGCCGUUUAUUUGGGUAAUCAAGACAGGAGAAAGAUUUUCAGAGCUAGAGGAUUGGCUAGUGGAAGAGAGGUUUGAAGAUAGAAUCAAAGGGAGAGGACUUGUGAUCAAGGGUUGGGCCCCUCAAGUUUUGAUUCUGUCCCAUCCAGCCAUGGGAGGGUUCUUAACCCAUUGUGGUUGGAACUCAACAGUAGAAGGGGUGUGCUCUGGGGUGCCAAUGAUAACGUGGCCGUUAUUUGCUGAGCAGUUCUUGAACGAGAAACUUAUUAUCGAAGUUUUGAGGAUUGGAGUUAGCUUGGGCGUUGAGGUCCCCGUUAGAUGGGGAGAUGAAGAGAGAGUUGGGGUUUUGGUGAAGAAAUGUGAAGUGGAGAAGGCUGUAGAGACAUUGAUGGAUGGAGGAGAAGAAGGUGAAAUGCGGAAAAAGAGGGCAAGAGAACUUUCAGCGUCAGCAAGAAGAGCCAUGGAAGACGGAGGAUCUUCUCACGUUAACAUGUCAAUUUUGAUCCAGGAUAUCACGAAGCUACAAUCCACUCAGGAGAACAGCUAAAACCCUUGCAGGAGAAGCUGCUUUAGUUUAUCGGUAAUUCUGUAACUUGCAAGAAAUCCACUUCCCUUUCAAAUAAAAUUGCAAGUGCAAAGCCCUAUGGUAUGAAUGGGUUCAACUUCAGACGAUGUGGAAGAGAACAUGAGGAGUGGAAGUCAGACUUACCAGAAAGGAUUUACCAUGCUACAUGUUGGUGCUAGAACCCUAAAGUUAGGUCGUCGGAUGAUCAGAUCCAACAAUACUUCCUCCUUGAAGUGGUGACUGACCUGUUUUCCAAUCGGCUGCUUCAGCUGCUGGACACUUGCGUAACUGGAACUCUGAUUACCCUAUUCAAGAGGGGCAAGACGAGGCCAAACAAAAAGAAGAAUGGAUAGAUCUAUGGCCUAAAGUGGGAGAUGAAGGGUGGAAUGGGGAAAUAUGAGAUAUUUUAAAACUUAUCAAUUGUAUUGAGUUUCUAUCCUUUGCAAUAUUCUCUGUAGUGUAGUAGUGGAAUUGUCUUUCAUAUAUGGAUGUAAGAAUGAUUAAUUACAUUAUGGUAAAAUUCCGUGGACGUUUGUGUA